rnacentral:lncRNA from 1 species
UUAAGUGCGUGGGUGACUUUGAAAUGUCGGUCUAUCCGCCCGAUGUUUUGCUUGGAACAAAGCCCGCAGUCGCGUUUUCAUCUGCUGUUCAUAGCUUCUCUCUCAAGCCUUCCUGCAUGCUUGAGUCGCUGUUUGCUCCACCGACCAACAAACUAACCCUAAAACUAACCCUAAACCUAUUUCUAACCCUAACCAUAGAUCCCCUAGAAAUAGCAUUUGACCUUGUGAGGGCCAACAAAAUGUCCCCAAUUGGUCAAAUUUCUCUUGGUUUACUAUUCUGGUCCCCACAAGUAUAGUUAAACACUGAACACACACAUACACACACUGGAGACACACACACACUGGAGACACACACACACUGGAGACACACACACACUGGACACACAGACUGUAAAUUAAAAUGUUAAUUGUGUGUGUCCAAAUAACUGAGUAUGUGACUAACCUUGUGAAACUGUCAUGUUAUAAUCUUCUGUUCUUCUAAGUAUAAUUCUUUGUUGCUCCUGUGUCCUUGUAUAGAUAAAAAGGGAACUGAGAGUCAAACCAGCUGUCUCCUGUGUCCUUGUAUAGAUAAAAGGGGAAGGAAGAGUCAAACCAGCUGUCUCCUGUGUCCUUGUAUAGAUUUAAAGGGAAGUAAGAGUCAAACCAGCUGUCUCCUGUGUCCUUGUAUAGAUUUAAAGGGAAGUGAGAGUCAAACCAGCUGUCUCCUGUGUCCUUUGUAUAGAUAAAAAGGGAACUGAGAGUCAAACCAGCUGUCUCCUGUGUCCUUGUAUAGAUAAAAAGGGAACUGAGAGUCCUGCCCAAGAACAGAUCAAGAUAUAAAGAUAUGUGCUGAUCACCCAAUGCUUCUGAAUUCAGACUGUCUACGCUGUGGAACUCUGUUAUUCUCUCUGAGAUCACAAUGUUUCUGAAUUCAGACUGUCUACACUGUGGAACUCUGUUAUUCUCUCUGAGAUCACAAUGCUUCUGAAUUCAGACUGUCUACACUGUGCUGUUGAACUCUGUUAUUUCUCUGAGCUCAUAAAUAAACAAUCUGGGUUUGACUUGGACUCCAGCAGAUCCUCAAUUAUAUAUACCCACACACACACACACACACUCACACCUUGGACACAUACACACACACACAAACACUGGACACACACAUGCACAAAGUGAGCAUUUCUCCUUCCCCAAGAUAAUCCAUCCACCUGACAGGUGUGGCAUAUCAAGAAGCUGAUUAACAGCAUGAUCAUUACAAAGGUCUCUCUAAAAUGUGUAGUUUUGUCAUAUAAAAACCUCAGACCACUUGUAUGGCAUCAUGUGGGUGAGAGGUUUGCUGAUGUCAACAUUGUGAACAGCCCCAUGGUGGAGGUGAGGUUAUGGUUCAACAUUGUGAACAGCCCCAUGGUGGUGGUGGGGUUAUGGUUCAACAUUGUGAACAGCCCCAUGGUGGAGGUGAGGUUAUGGUAUGGACAUUGUGAACAGCCCCAUGGUGGAGGUGAGGUUAUGGUUCAACAUUGUGAACAGCCCCAUGGUGGUGGUGAGGUUAUGGUAUGGCCAUUGUGAACAGCCCCAUGGUGGAGGUGAGGUUAUGGUUCAACAUUGUGAACAGCCCCAUGGUGGUGGUGAGGUUAUGGUAUGGCCAUUGUGAACAGCCCCAUGGUGGAGGUGAGGUUAUGGUUCAACAUUGUGAACAGCCCCAUGGUGGAGGUGGUGUUAUGGUUCAAUAUUGUGAACAGCCCCAUGGUGGUGGUGAGGUUAUGGUAUGGGCAGGCAUAAGCCACAGACCAUGAACUCAAGUGCAUUUUAUCGAUGGAAAUCUGAAUGCACAGAGAUACCGUGAUGAGAUCCCAUUGUCAUGCCAUUCAUCCUCACCCAUCACCUCAUGUUUCAGCAUGAUAAUGCACGGCCUGAUGUCGCAAGGAUCUGAACACAAUUCCUGGAAGCUGAAAAAAAAACUGUUCUUCCAUGGCCUGAGUACUCACCAGACAUGUCACCCAUUGAGCAUGUUUGGGAUGCUCUGGAUAUACGUGUACGAUAGCGUGAGAUUCGUAUCUGUAUUCCCAGUCAUGUGAAAUCUGUAGAUUAGGAUCUAAUUAAUGUAUUUCAACUGACUUAUUUCCUUAUAUGAACUGUAACUGUAACUCACUUGCAUUUUGGGUUUAUAUUUUUGUUCAGUAUAAUAAAAAGAUCAGUUGUAAAUGUUUUAUGUUUGAUAUGAUGUUAGUAACACUAAGUCAUUCCAUCCUUUCACUAAAUGGUAGUAACACUAAGUCAUUCCAUCCUUUCACUAAAGCUCUAAAGUAACUUUUAAUUGACAGAUGCCUCAUUUAUAUGUUGUGGAUGUUGAUGAAAGGAAAUCCCAUAUAGGCUACUGACCAGGACUUUGUUAUGGCAUCUUCUGUUUGGGAGUCUCAGGUCAGGUCAGAGCCAUGAUCAGAAUGUGUCUCUGUCUAUUUCCAGCC